rnacentral:rRNA from 1 species
UGCAAGUCGAGCGGUAGCACAGAGAGCUUGCUCUCGGGUGACGAGCGGCGGACGGGUGAGUAAUGUCUGGGAAACUGCCUGAUGGAGGGGGAUAACUACUGGAAACGGUAGCUAAUACCGCAUAACGUCGCAAGACCAAAGUGGGGGACCUUCGGGCCUCAUGCCAUCAGAUGUGCCCAGAUGGGAUUAGCUGGUAGGUGGGGUAACGGCUCACCUAGGCGACGAUCCCUAGCUGGUCUGAGAGGAUGACCAGCCACACUGGAACUGAGACACGGUCCAGACUCCUACGGGAGGCAGCAGUGGGGAAUAUUGCACAAUGGGCGCAAGCCUGAUGCAGCCAUGCCGCGUGUGUGAAGAAGGCCUUCGGGUUGUAAAGCACUUUCAGCGGGGAGGAAGGCGGUGAGGUUAAUAACCUCAUCGAUUGACGUUACCCGCAGAAGAAGCACCGGCUAACUCCGUGCCAGCAGCCGCGGUAAUACGGAGGGUGCAAGCGUUAAUCGGAAUUACUGGGCGUAAAGCGCACGCAGGCGGUCUGUCAAGUCGGAUGUGAAAUCCCCGGGCUCAACCUGGGAACUGCAUUCGAAACUGGCAGGCUAGAGUCUUGUAGAGGGGGGUAGAAUUCCAGGUGUAGCGGUGAAAUGCGUAGAGAUCUGGAGGAAUACCGGUGGCGAAGGCGGCCCCCUGGACAAAGACUGACGCUCAGGUGCGAAAGCGUGGGGAGCAAACAGGAUUAGAUACCCUGGUAGUCCACGCUGUAAACGAUGUCGAUUUGGAGGUUGUGCCCUUGAGGCGUGGCUUCCGGAGCUAACGCGUUAAAUCGACCGCCUGGGGAGUACGGCCGCAAGGUUAAAACUCAAAUGAAUUGACGGGGGCCCGCACAAGCGGUGGAGCAUGUGGUUUAAUUCGAUGCAACGCGAAGAACCUUACCUGGUCUUGACAUCCACAGAACUUUCCAGAGAUGGAUUGGUGCCUUCGGGAACUGUGAGACAGGUGCUGCAUGGCUGUCGUCAGCUCGUGUUGUGAAAUGUUGGGUUAAGUGCGGCA